rnacentral:rRNA from 1 species
AUUGAACGCUGGCGGCAGGCCUAACACAUGCAAGUCGAACGGCAGCACAGAGAGCUUGCUCUCGGGUGGCGAGUGGCGGACGGGUGAGUAAUGUCUGGGGAUCUGCCCGGUAGAGGGGGAUAACCACUGGAAACGGUGGCUAAUACCGCAUAACGUCGCAAGACCAAAGAGGGGGACCUUCGGGCCUCUCACUAUCGGAUGAACCCAGAUGGGAUUAGCUAGUAGGUGGGGUAAGGGCUCACCUAGGCGACGAUCCCUAGCUGGUCUGAGAGGAUGACCAGCCACACUGGAACUGAGACACGGUCCAGACUCCUACGGGAGGCAGCAGUGGGGAAUAUUGCACAAUGGGCGCAAGCCUGAUGCAGCCAUGCCGCGUGUGUGAAGAAGGCCUUCGGGUUGUAAAGCACUUUCAGCGAGGAGGAAGGCGUUGUAGUUAAUAACUGCAGCGAUUGACGUUACUCGCAGAAGAAGCACCGGCUAACUCCGUGCCAGCCGCCGCCGUAACAC